UGGGGUAUGGCUCAGUGGUAGAGCGUGUGCUUGGCAUGUAUGACGUCCUGGAUUUGAUCCCCAGUACCUCCA
rnacentral:tRNA from 1 species